rnacentral:rRNA from 1 species
UGAACGCUGGCGGCAUGCCUUACACAUGCAAGUCGAACGGCAGCAUGAUCUAGCUUGCUAGAUUGAUGGCGAGUGGCGAACGGGUGAGUAAUACAUCGGAACGUGCCCUGUAGUGGGGGAUAACUAGUCGAAAGAUUAGCUAAUACCGCAUACGACCUGAGGGUGAAAGUGGGGGACCGCAAGGCCUCAUGCUAUAGGAGCGGCCGAUGCCUGAUUAGCUAGUUGGUGAGGUAAAGGCUCACCAAGGCGACGAUCAGUAGCUGGUCUGAGAGGACGAUCAGCCACACUGGGACUGAGACACGGCCCAGACUCCUACGGGAGGCAGCAGUGGGGAAUUUUGGACAAUGGGCGAAAGCCUGAUCCAGCAAUGCCGCGUGUGUGAAGAAGGCCUUCGGGUUGUAAAGCACUUUUGUCCGGAAAGAAAUGGCUCUGGUUAAUACCUGGGGUCGAUGACGGUACCGGAAGAAUAAGGACCGGCUAACUACGUG